rnacentral:rRNA from 1 species
AUGUUUGAUUUGCAAUUCCAUGGCCUAGCACGGGUGCUGAGUCAGACUGGCUUAUGCCAAGCUGAACGCACCAACUUGUUGAUUAACAAUGUCAUUGUACGGCCUUUGCCGAAAUACAACGUGCUCAUGACCCCGUCCAUUGUAAGGAUUUUCCUUCUUAAAAGUUGGUGUGUAUACUAUCUGUUCACCAUUAACUUUGUAUACCUAUUGCAGUACCUAUUGCCGUUGUAUUUGGUGGAUUCCUCCUACGGCCUCCUUGCAGUUAAUAUUGAAAAUAGGAGGACUCUCCUGAUUGAUCAUUCUAACGAGUCAUUCCUAGGCUCAGAGGACUUUCAUGACAAGGAACUUAAGAAGGAAGCCCUGAUAGUUCUGAAAGAAUUUGGCAGUGUAUUGCAACAGGAGAGGCCUGGUUUGAAUCCCCAACUCGUGGAUUGGCCACAAGAUCAUACCUAUAUUACAGCCCCGCGGUAA